rnacentral:rRNA from 1 species
GCUCAGAUUGAACGCUGGCGGCAGGCCUAACACAUGCAAGUCGAGCGGUAGCACAAGAGAGCUUGCUCUCUGGGUGACGAGCGGCGGACGGGUGAGUAAUGUCUGGGAAACUGCCUGAUGGCGGGGGAUAACUAGUGGAAACGGUAGCUAAUACCGCAUAACGUCGCAAGACCAAAGUGGGGGACCUUCGGGCCUCACGCCAUCAGAUGUGCCCAGGUGGGAUUAGCUGGUAGGUGGGGUAACGGCUCACCUAGGCGACGAUCCCUAGCUGGUCUGAGAGGAUGACCAGCCACACUGGAACUGAGACACGGUCCAGACUCCUACGGGAGGCAGCAGUGGGGAAUAUUGCACAAUGGGCGCAAGCCUGAUGCAGCCAUGCCGCGUGUGUGAAGAAGGCCUUCGGGUUGUAAAGCACUUUCAGCGAGGAGGAAGGGUAAUGUGU